CUCCUUGUCCCAGAGCCAGGAACCCCCGCCCGGAGGUAUGAUCAGCGCACGAGGCAGGUCCCGCCUUCCUGCAAGCAGAGCUAGUCCCAGGCGCUUUGGGAUGGCCGGGCUGCGGCCACUAGGCAGGACAGUGGUCCACCACCGGGGCCCGAGACCACUGACAGGUGACAGCGCUGACUGGCCUUCGUCCCGUCGCGUCCACAAACACUGAAGCCCCUGAUUUCCGGUGUGUAUGGCUUCCUGUACUCACGUACUACUAGUUUGACUCAGUCGUGUCCGACUCUUUGUGACCCCAUGGACUGGGGCCCACCAGGCUCCUCCCUCCAUGGGAUUCUCCAGGCAAGAAUACUGGAGUGGGUUGCCAUUUCCUUGGCCAGGGGAUCCUCCCGACCCAGGGAUUGAACCCGGGUCUCCCGCCUUGCGGGCAGACGCUUUAACCUCUGAGCCACCAGGGUGCGUACUCACGUAGGCACGCAGUUAUGUAGACACGCACGUAGGAACAAACGCGCAUUCCCCAGCCAGCCCUGUCCCCUUGGAGACGAAAUAGGAUCCGCCACGCUCUGAGGCGCCUGGAAGGUCAGGCCAGGAGGAGCCUCGAGACCCGCGGCCUGGAGCAGGACCCAGGGGAGGACCAGAAUCUUUGCCGUAGGCGUCCAGUCCGAGAGACUCGGCGAGAGGCAAAGUGACAGCGACCGCAUCCGAGCUUCAGCGUGGACCCCAGGAGCCAGGGAAGCGGAGAGAGGCGGGGCCUCUGGGCAGAAUUGCGCAUCUCUGGGCAGAAAGCCCAGGCCCUCUCCCCUCCAAGCCACCCUCCGGCUGCUGGCCCAGUGCUGAGCAAGUCUUUAUCUGGGUUUUUUUGCAGAUGAGAAGGACAAUCCUCACUGCGUUUCUUGCUGCCCCUGGGACCUGAGAUGUCCCAGAGAAAGGCAACUUCACCUUCAAAACUGUUUCCUGUCCUCUUCCUCUCUUCUGGGGGCUCAGCCCACCCAGGGCAGCCACCUGACUCUGCCACCCUCCCUGCUGUGUCCCUGCCUCCCAAGUGCCUGACCAGAGUAAAUUCUCCUCUUCCUGUCCCCACUGCUACUGGCUGAGCUCAGACUGCAUGGCCUGCGGUGGGUGCUGUCAGCCUAGCCCCGCCCCCCACCAGCCUGAACCCCUGCUGUCUCUCCUCCUCCCACCGGUGUUUCACAUACCAUGGUUCUGGUCACACUGCAUGCCCAUCUGUCCUCAUCAACCCCGGAUGGAAAGCACAGCCGAGCCCUCUCCUCUUUCAGCCCCAACAUGUCCAUGGUGCCCUGGUGGGGCUUCCGGUGGUCCUAGGUCUCCUUCCUUGUCGCCCAGCACCCUGGGUGGCUGUGCUGGCCAUGCCAUCUGCACAGAGCUCCUCCAGGACCCGACACUUUCACAUGCAGUUCUGCCCCUGGACCACUGGCUCC
ensembl:lncRNA